rnacentral:lncRNA from 10 species
CUGGUCUGGGCAGCUACUGCUGAGACUGCUUGUGUUAAGGCCAUUCUUGCAUUGCUAUAAAGAAAUACCUGAGACUAGGUAUUUAUAAAGAAAUGAGCUUUAAUGGGCUCAGUGUUCUGCAGGUUGUACAGGAAGCAUAGUGCUGGCAUUUGCUCAGCUUCUGGGGAGGCCUCAGGGAGCUUUUACUCAUGAUGGAAGGCAAAGCAGGAGCAGGCACAUCAUAUGGCAAAAGCAGGAGCAAGAGAGAGAUGGAGGAGAGAGGGUGCCACACAAUUUUAAACAACCAGAUCUUGUGAGAACUCACUAUCAUGAGGACAGCACCAAGCCAUGAGAGAUCCACCCCCAUGAUCCAAACCUUUCCCAUCAGGCCCAACCUUCAACAUUGGGGAUUGUAUCUCAACAUGAGAUUUGGAGGGCAUGUCCAAACUAUGUCAUUCUCCCCUGCCCCCACAAAUCUCAUGUCCUUCUCAUACUGUGAAAUACAAUAAUCUCAUCCCAAUAGUCCUCCAAAGUCUUAACACAUUCCAGCAUUAAUGAAACUGCCUUUGCAAAAUUAUAACUGAAGAAAUUAUGACAGUGAAAGAAAUCAGACCUAACCAACCCCAUAUUGCUUCUAACCUUUGUCCUUGUUCAUUACUGGGCAUAGGCCAAACUAACUUUGGGAAGGAAUUCAAUUUAUGGUUUGACUCUGAAACAAAAUUGAUAACAGACAUUUUCCAAAAAGACCCCAUUCUUGCCUGGGGACAAGUAUGCCUUUGCAGGACUAACAAAUUAGAUAGAAGAUUAGAAAUUACAUUUUAGGGGACAGGUAGCCUCUGGCUACUAGAGUCUGAACCUCCCCAAAUUGCUCCUGAGGAUAACAUCAAUGCUGUAAAACCUAAGAUCAGUGCUUGAGGUAUUUUGCAGCCCCUGCGCUUGAUGGAUCAGCUGACACCACCUAGACCAGUAAUCUGGCUCAAUCAGUUCUUCCAUCCCAUCCAGGAAUAGAAAACAGCAAGAAAAACUCACUUCAACUCUCCAUGAUUCCAUGUCCAUCCUGACCAAUCAGCACUUCCCACUUCUCAAGCCCCUACCCACCAAAUUAUCUUUAAAAA